rnacentral:rRNA from 1 species
AGAGUUUGAUCAUGGCUCAGAAUCAACGCUGGCGGCGCGCCUAACACAUGCAAGUCGCACGAGAAAGCGGGAGCAAUCUCGCAAGUAAAGUGGCGUACGGGUGAGUAACACGUGGAUCAUCUGCCCUGGAGUGGGGAAUAACGCUGGGAAACCGGCGCUAAUACCGCAUAUACCCGAGAGGGGAAAGCAGCAAUGCGCUCGAGGAGGAGUCCGCGGCCGAUUAGCUAGUUGGCAGGGUAAAAGCCUACCAAGGCUAUGAUCGGUAGCCGGCCUGAGAGGGCACACGGCCACACUGGCACUGAAACACGGGCCAGACUCCUACGGGAGGCAGCAGUGGGGAAUCUUGCACAAUGGGGGAAACCCUGAUGCAGCGACGCCGCGUGAGCGAUGAAGCCCUUCGGGGUGUAAAGCUCUUUCGGCAGGGAAGAUUAUGACGGUACCUGCAGAAGCAGCUGCGGCUAACUACGUGCCAGCAGCCGCGGUAAUACGUAGGCAGCAAGCGUUGUUCGGAGUUACUGGGCGUAAAGGGUGUGUAGGUGGCGCGCUAAGUUCCGUGUGAAAUCUCCCGGCUCAACCGGGAGGGUGCGCGGAAAACUGGCGGGCUAGAGUACGGGAUGGGAGAGUAGAAUUCCUGGUGUAGCGGUGAAAUGCGUAGAUAUCAGGAGGAAUACCGGUGGUGUAGACGGCUCUCUGGACCGUAACUGACACUGAGACACGAAAGCGUGGGUAGCAAACAGGAUUAGAUACCCUAGUAGUCC